UCCGGUUUACACCGGCGGUCUCCCAUGAGUCCCCGCCAUUACGCGCUGGCAACAUGGAACGAGGGUUGCGCUCGUUGCGGGACUUAACCCAACAUCUCACGACACGAGCUGACGACAACCAUGCACCACCUGUGAACCGGCCCCAAAGGGGAAACCACAUUUCUGCGGCGGUCCGGUCCAUGUCAAGCCUUGGUAAGGUUCUUCGCGUUGCAUCGAAUUAAUCCACAUAAUCCACCGCUUGUGCGGGUCCCCGUCAAUUCCUUUGAGUUUUAGCCUUGCGGCCGUACUCCCCAGGCGGGGUGCUUAAUGCGUUAGCUUCGGCACGGAUGGGGUCGAUGUCCACCCACACCUAGCACCCAACGUUUACGGCUAGGACUAC
rnacentral:misc_RNA from 1 species